AUUGAACGCUGGCGGCAUGCUUUACACAUGCAAGUCGAACGGUAACAGGCCUUCGGGUGCUGACGAGUGGCGAACGGGUGAGUAAUGCAUCGGAACGUACCCAGAGGUGGGGGAUAACGCAGCGAAAGCUGUGCUAAUACCGCAUGUGAUCUGAGGAUGAAAGCGGGGGACCGAGCAGCAAUGUUUGGCCUCGCGCCUUUGGAGCGGCCGAUGUCGGAUUAGCUAGUUGGUGGGGUAAAGGCCUACCAAGGCGACGAUCCGUAGCUGGUCUGAGCGGACGACCAGCCACACUGGGACUGAGACACGGCCCAGACUCCUACGGGAGGCAGCAGUGGGGAAUUUUGGACAAUGGGCGCAAGCCUGAUCCAGCAAUGCCGCGUGCGGGAAGAAGGCCUUCGGGUUGUAAACCGCUUUUGGCAGGAACGAAACGGUGUCCGCUAAUACCGGGCGCUAAUGACGGUACCUGCAGAAUAAGCACCGGCUAACUACGUG
rnacentral:rRNA from 1 species